GUUUACAAGCAGCCAGCCCACAUGGGUCCAAUUCGGCUUUGUUAAUGUGUGCUGUUGAAUGAGCUUGAAGUCAGCAACUGCUCAGCUGUGGAGCAAGGUAAACCACAGCAUAGAAACUGAGGACAUGCAGACUGAUUCAAAAAUUCCCUCAGGACAGCUCUUCAGGGAGCCAGUAUCAAAGAAUGAAUCUUCUUUUACCUAAAAGGGAGAGCAGACCAAACAGAUCACACACGAAACUUACUCUGUUCUCAGCCAGAGCCAGAGCAAAGCGGGGUGGGAUGUGUGCAGACUCCAGUGCUGUGGCCACUCACAUCCAGCCCUGCACAUGGAAUUGCUCAAUCUGUUUAUUACCAGGCGUGUGGGCAAGGAAAUGAACUUGGCUUAAAAAUGCCAGAUGACAUCUCACAGACAGUUGCACCCCUGUGCUGACUGCUAAAAUGGUUCUGAAAUCACGCCGUGAGAGCCACGGUCAGAGCAUCUGUCGCUGAGGGCCGGGCAGGAGGCUGGUGGCUGCCGAGCAGCAGAGCUCAGAGCUGCUCCUUCCCUGCUGGCCCCAGAGCGGGCACCGCUAGCCGGGAUGGAGGUGCCCGCUCCCACCGGCAGAGCAGCGUGCCGCAAACCUGGCCUCGGAGCUCCACCUAGGGGUGUCACCGCUGGGGCUGGGGGCUCCCUGCCCCGGCAACCUGGGGCAGAAUUUACUGUAAUUCACACCCAGCGGCACUGCCCGCCUUUGCCUGAUACUCAUCAGAGUAAAAUGCUUUUCCUUUUUCUGAAACUGGAAAAAAAAAAUCAUGUCAAGUUUAUAAAACCAUAAAAACUACCAACACCCAGGCAUUACCACCGAAUUUCCUUAGAGAGCAUCAGCAAGUGCUUGCUGAAACAAUGUUCCUUCUGCGCAGCUGGGCAGCCUCAUGCCCAGAGGAAGAGGUUCUCUCGUUGGAUGUCCUCCUUUCCUUUGUCUCGUGGUGCAUGGUACCGCUUCACUAUGCCUCCAUCAACACUCACAAAAACACACCCACCCUGCUGGGAUCGACCAAGCACUAGAACGACAUCUUCACCUGCUAGGGGAAGUCUGAGUCUCUUUUUCUUGCCCAACAUGCAAAGUUCUGGCAUCCAGGACCCCUGAGUUUUUUGUUGGUACAUUUACAAGAAUGAUCUCGCCAAACAUGGGUUAUUUCCCACAGUGAGGUUGCUGUGGGGUAGGAAGAGAGAGCAGUAUGCUUGUUCUAGUAUGUUAGCAGUGGUGCUUUCAUCAGAAUUUGCUUUAAAUUUCAGUAGAAUUUACUUGUAUGCUGAAAGGAGCUACAGGUACUGCUGGAGACACAUGCUAAUAAAACCCCUAAGUGUUAACAAUGUCCAGUGGAGACUCAAGAUUCACUUAGAUAACUGUGCUGGAAGAUAAUUUUCAAAUGUUUUGAGGCAGUACCUUCUAAAACUAUUUAGAUGAAGCUGGAUAAGGAGAUAACAAAUAUCAACAUAAUAAAUAUUUUGGGAUUCUAAUCCUUG